rnacentral:lncRNA from 1 species
CAAGGAUGGAGUGAAAUACAAGGUGAGGAAAUUAAAGUUGAGAGACACUAAGCAACUGCCCCAGGCUUCCAUGGCAGAAUGAGGAUUCAGGUCGAGCCUGUCUAACUGUUAACCCCAUCCCUUUCCAUCACAUUUUUAUGCCUACCUAGCAUGGGCCUGGUUGGCAGGGCUCUUGAAGUAGAGCUUCUCAAAUGCAACUGCACCUGUGCAUCUUGCUAAGAUGUGGAUUCUGAUGCAGGACUUCUGGGUGGGGGCUGAGACUCCAUUUCUAACAAGUCCCCAAGUCAUUCCAAUGCUGCUGGCCUGCAAAGCACAAUGUGAGAAGCAGGAGUUCAGCCCCCGCCCCCCUCAUUUUGCAGCAGAAGAAAUUGAGGUUGUUGAAGUCAAGUGACUUACUUCAAGUGGCAUGGCACGUUAGUGGAAGAGGCAGGAUACAGACAUGGGAAUGCUAAUUUCCAGUCCAGAGCCUUGCCUUUACCAUGUGUGUCAGUUACUAGGCUAUUGUCUCUUUGCUCCAACCCCAUCCUUCCGCACUUAGCUUUGGAUGCUGGGGUUGUGCUAUGGACUGAAUAUUUGUGUCCCUCCCCAAAUCCAUGUGUUGAAGCCUAAUCCUCAGUGGGAUGGAAUUAGGAGGUGGGGAAGUAAUUAGGUCAGGAGAGUGGAGCCCUCAUAAGUGGGAUUAGUGCCUUCAUAAGAGACAAGAGACAGCUUGCAUCCUCGUGCUCUGCAAUCCACUGUAUGAGCGUAGAAUGAGAAGACAGCUGUCUGCAAAGAAGAGUGUCCUCAUCAGACUCUAGAUCAGCUGGCACCUUGAUCUUGG